rfam:Anaerostipes sp. 992a contig000003, whole genome shotgun sequence.
UCCAUCGUGAGGUGGAAUCUGAAGGAAGCUGUAAGCAAACUCUUGGUCCGACGGACAGAAAUCACAUAUAAGGCUCGGAAAUACGGAUAAGUCUGCAAAAGGAGAUGAAGUCCAAAAGUUGCUGGAAGUACGAGUAAAUGUGGCGGAUAGAUGAGAGGAAAGAGCGUGCA